UCCGACCAAUCGUAUGGAGAUGAUACGACCUUAGUGUAGAUUCCCUCUAUUACUGUUUAGUACCCCACUGUGGCCUUCAAGGACUGGUGAGCAGGAGGGGG